GCGACGCAGAGUGCUUCUGCUGAAAAAUUUGGAGGUUGGCCGGAAAUUGCCGGUAGGCUGCCGUGGCCUGACCCUACUACGUGCACAACUCCGCAGGCAUUAGGGGAGGGGUCAUCUGCUCUAAUUAGGUAACAGGGGCAAGUGGGAUUAAAGUUUUAAGGCAGUUAUAUUAAGAAGCUGAGGACAGGAUUCCGGAACCAGGCCCCAGAAAGCAAGAUAGAAAAGAAAUAUGCUCUUUACCGUGGCCGAUCAGCAACGAACCAACACUGUCCUCAUCUAAUUCUACGUCUUCCACACUGCCCAGUAACACAAAUAACCAGAGCGCAGACGCCAAGAAUCCUUCCAAGUAACGCAGCUAACAGACCAAGGUCAGGAGCCAAAGCUCAGCCAGCCCGAAGGAGCCAGGAUUAGAGCCUGCAUGGAUGCAACAGUCACGCUUCUCUCUAUUACGUGUCUUGCAACUUGGAGUCACAUGAUCUCAGCAUCUGAUCCACCCUGGGCUCAGGACCUCCCAGAACCUCCCAGAAUCGAGGCUCACGGCAGAGGUUCUGCACUCACCAAGGACGCGGGGGGACCAUGUCUGUGCUCAUGUGGAUCCCCGCUGCUGGGCAGAGCACACCACACAUCCAGACUCAACAAAAUACAUGGAGUCAAAGGUCAGGUGACUGAAUCAAUGAGUAUGUUACACACCAAGAAAGACCCCUCCUCUCUGCACCCCGGGGAGCAGCCCCAGAAGCCUGGUCUCCUCCAGGAUGAAAAUGCAAACGCAGGUGCCUGGGGGCUCCCAGAGCCUUUGGCUUCACGGUUCCCUCCCGGCCCUGCCU
rnacentral:lncRNA from 1 species